UACUCUUUCUUCUCUUCAAAACGCAUAAAUCUUUUGCCUUUUACUAAAGAUUUCCGUGGAGUGGAGUAACAGACGAACUGAAGGCAAUUUUUGCGGGCUCCCCAGGUGGUGGAGCC